CAGCUAGUUGGCGAGGUAACGGCUCACCAAGGCUACGACGGGUAGCUGGUCUGAGAGGAUGGCCAGCCACAUUGGGACUGAGAAACGGCCCAGACUCCUACGGGAGGCAGCAGUGGGGAAUCUUGCGCAAUGGCCUAACGGCUGACGCAGCGACGCCGCGUGAGGGAUGACGCUCUUCGGAGUGUAAACCUCUUUUGCCCGGAACGAAUUGCCACCAUCAGGUGGCUUGACGGUACCGGUUGAAUAAGCACCGGCUAACUCCGUGCCAGCAGCCGCGGUAAUACGGGGGGUGCGAGCGUUGUCCGGAAUCACUGGGCGUAAAGGGCGCGUAGGUGGCGUGAUAAGGGUGUGGUGAAAGCCCGGGGCUCAACCCCGGGUCUGCCAUGCCGACUGUCAGGCUCGAGUACUGUAGGGGCAGGCGGAAUUCCGGGUGUAGCGGUGGAAUGCGUAAAGAUCCGGAGGAAGACCGGUGGCGAAGGCGGCCUGCUGGGCAGUUAC
rnacentral:rRNA from 1 species